AGGAUGAAUGCUGGCGGCGCGCCUAACACAUGCAAGUCGAGCGGUAAGGCCCUUAGGGGUACACGAGCGGCGGACGGCUGAGUAACGCGUGGGAACAUGCCCCAAAGUGAGGAAUAACUGCCCGAAAGGGUAGCUAAUGCCGCAUAUGAUCUUAGGAUUAAAGGAUUUAUCCGCUUUGGGAGUGGCCUGCGUACGAUUAGAUAGUUGGUGAGGUAAAGGCUCACCAAGUCUACGAUCGUUAACUGUUCUGAGAGGAUGAUCAGUCAGACUGGAACUGAGACACGGUCCAGACUCCUACGGGAGGCAGCAGUGAGGAAUCUUCCACAAUGGGCGAAAGCCUGAUGGAGCGACGCCGCGUGCAGGAUGAAGGCCUUAGGGUUGUAAACUGUCUUUUAUAAGUGAAGAAUAUGACGGUAAUUAUGAAUAAGCACCGGCUAACUACGCGCCAGCAGCCGC
rnacentral:rRNA from 1 species